CGGACGGGCUUCCGCUAGGUCCCGGGGCGUGAUACUGUCAUUUUUUGAAAACUACCAGGUUUAGUUUUAGGAGCUGUAAUUUGUUUGUAUCGCCGCAAUUUGUAGGCGGUGGAUAUUUAGAAUAGUGUAGAAUGAAUUUACGCUAUUGCUGGGAUGCCGAAUUUAUUUUUAUAGUAGUGUAUAGACUGUUCCGGACUGUCGGGUGCCGUUGUGGUUGACGGUGGACCCAGAUUGCUGUUUUUACAUCAGAUUGUGGCGAGGGCAUGUUUAUUAUGGUUGUUAGACCAGUUAGACCCUUCUGCUUUGACUAUAGCCAGUGAGAGCCUGAUUGAGCUCAGCAGAGAUACGCUUGCAUACUCGGUUGGGUAGCGCUCACAAGUGCUACUCCGGAGUUGGGCUUUGUACUUUUGCGUUGCUGUCUUGCGUCCUGUUUGGACUUUCUCUCCACUGACGACCUGGCGUAGUGAUAGUUAGUGUAGCUUCGAUAGGCGGGACGGGUGUGUUCACAGUCCCUAGUGAGAUUGGGUCAGAGAUUGCAUAUUUUUCUACAGAUAGUUAGUGUUGGAUCGUGAUAAUAUAGGAGCAUAUAGCUGUAGAGUUUUCUAGUUUUCUUUACUAUCUUUCAGCAUACUUUCUGUAGACUUAGUGGGUGAGCCGUUGAAGUCGGUAGCGGUAUCCACUGAGGAUUAUUUCUUUUUUGCAGUAGUUCUCACACCUAGUUGCUGACCCCUUUUUGCAGAGUCUUCUUCUUCGGCUGCUGCUGUUCUGAUACUGAUCGUGGAAAGGGAGUUGCGAGUUAGAUCCCUUCCAGAAGUGUUGCAGGGCUAGAGAAAUACCUCCCACAGGUAGUUUUGAGGUUUUAUGUAUAUAUGGAUGUUGUCUCAGUACUCGCUGGAGUGAGUGUUGUAAUAGAUAUUUUGUUGUAUGUACUUGAACCCUUGAGUUUUUUUUUAUAUAUAUGUUUUUUAGUUUAGCAGCUCAGUAUCUUGUGGUUGUAGCUUGAUUUAUUUAUAGGUAUAGCUAUCGCUUCGUAUAUAGGAAAAAUUUCUAUGUAUACGGCGGGUCUGUUGGCGUGUUCGGAAAAACGUGUAAUCCGGGGCGUGGCAUUACUCUAUAAUUUUAUGGUUGGAUUAUUAUAAUUUAUGCAUAAAAAAUUAAUUUAGUUAUUUUAGAAUAUAUUAUUUUAUAUUAUAGAUACACAAUUAUAUUGUUUGUUAUUUAUUAUAUUAUAAUUUAUUAUUUACAAUAUAAAUUAGAGUUUGUACGUCUUUUAUUCUCUCCAAAUAAAUAAUAGAACUGAAAAAACUUUAAUUUUAUAGCUAUAAAAGCGAAUAACAUGAAUAAAAUAAUUUUCACCUAAACUCUAUUUCAAUUCAAAAUCUACUUUAAUCCAAA
rnacentral:lncRNA from 1 species